AAUUUGUCCAUAGCAUCAUCCAUCCUACCAUUCAACGGCGGCUGCUGCUGCCCACCGGUGGGUAGGAUGGCUGGUGCUAUGGAUAGCUU
rnacentral:pre_miRNA from 1 species